GAUGAACGCUGGCGGCGUGCCUAAUACAUGCAAGUCGAGCGAACGGACGAGAAGCUUGCUUCUCUGAUGUUAGCGGCGGACGGGUGAGUAACACGUGGAUAACCUACAUAUAAGACUGGGAUAACUUCGGGAAACCGGAGCUAAUACCGGAUAAUAUUUUGAACCGCAUGGUUCAAAAGUGAAAGACGGUCUUGCUGUCACUUAUAGAUGGAUCCGCGCUGCAUUAGCUAGUUGGUAAGGUAACGGCUUACCAAGGCAACGAUGCAUAGCCGACCUGAGAGGGUGAUCGGCCACACUGGAACUGAGACACGGUCCAGACUCCUACGGGAGGCAGCAGUAGGGAAUCUUCCGCAAUGGGCGAAAGCCUGACGGAGCAACGCCGCGUGAGUGAUGAAGGUCUUCGGAUCGUAAAACUCUGUUAUUAGGGAAGAACAUAUGUGUAAGUAACUGUGCACAUCUUGACGGUACCUAAUCAGAAAGCCACGGCUAAUUACGUG
rnacentral:rRNA from 1 species